AGGUUGGAUUUUCCUGGCUCUGGUCUGCGUGGUCCCUGAAAUGAAGUGUUUGCAAGAAACCCAGUUGAAUAGAUUAUAGUGGAAUUAAAAAUCCUGUUCUCUUUUUCUUUUUCCUUUCUGGCAUUCCUGAGCAUAGAAUAGGUCACUUCUACAUGGAAGAUCCAGUAAAGUCUACAACUGUAGGACAUCAAUGGAGAAGGAGGGAAAAGAGACACUGGUGUUUUUUUCUUCAAGCCUUGUGAUUUAUACGGGACCUCCAGGAAUGACCCACAUCCUGAGGCGUUUACGCAUUCCUAGCCCAACUUUCUAUCUGGCCGGGUGCCUGAGAGCAAAAAUCUUUCUGUAAUAUAAAGAACAGGACAUAACCGAGAGGAAGGCUGAUCUCGACGGAGCCUGCAAACGCCUGAGCUUGACGAUUGGUAACCACGGCAACAGGGCCUCCUUUGAAAUAAUUGCUUGUUACAGAUCCCCAUUUUGUGCGGAGAACUGGUCAGCAUUAAAAAUUGGAGAAGACAAGGAAUUCCUCAGAUGAACAAUGAGGGGAAAAAAUGGACCCAGAGCUGUUUUGCUACAUGCCCAUCAUUCCAAGGCCAUGGCUCUGUUAGUUAGCCAAGUUUAAAAUACCCGUCAAGGCCAUCAUAGACAGUAGAGCCACUCAGGUGAAGCUGCUUAAUGCAGCUUAAAGAUAAGGUCCUCCAAUGAACAAACCAGAUAAACAGAGCAUAAACACGUUCCAUUGCAGGCAAAAGACUUGACAAGACAGAGAGAAUCAGGGAGGCUGCUCUAAUUGGCCAGAGGUGCAGAGGAGAAGGGUCUUGCACCAAGAGUUGGUGGAUUUCUUGCUCGCUUGAUACAUUCAGUCAUAACAUCCUUCAAGUUUCCAGGCUUCUUUUUUCCCCCCUUGAGAUCUGAUCCUGGUGAAUUUGUGCUGAUUUCAUUGAAAUGUUUCACUCAGGAAAAAAAAAACCUACAAAAAAUCUGAAAAAAU